rnacentral:sRNA from 1 species
UAUUCUGCCCCAUGGGGAAGGAUGAGAAGCUUCGACUAAGGUUCGACUCGAGCGCCAGCGAGAGACCGUUGCCUCAGGCAACGGCCCGAAGGGCGAGGCGCUUGAGCGCCGAGUAAUCCUUCCCCCACCACCA